rnacentral:rRNA from 1 species
GAUGAACGCUAGCGGGAGGCCUAACACAUGCAAGCCGAGCGGUAGAGUUUCUUCGGAAACUUGAGAGCGGCGCACGGGUGCGUAACACGUGUGCAACCUACCUUUAUCUGGGGGAUAGCCUUUCGAAAGGAAGAUUAAUACCCCAUAAUAUAAUGAUUGGCAUCAAUUAUUAUUGAAAACUCCGGUGGAUAGAGAUGGGCACGCGCAAGAUUAGAUAGUUGGUGAGGUAACGGCUCACCAAGUCAAUGAUCUUUAGGGGUCCUGAGAGGGAGAUCCCCCACACUGGUACUGAGACACGGACCAGACUCCUACGGGAGGCAGCAGUGAGGAAUAUUGGACAAUGGGUGAGAGCCUGAUCCAGCCAUCCCGCGUGAAGGAUGACGGUCCUAUGGAUUGUAACCUUCUUUUGUACAGGGAUAAACCUACCCUCGUGAGGGUAGCUGAAGGUACUGUACGAAUAAGCACCGGCUAACUCCGUG